CAUAGUUUUCACUGUUUGUCACUUUUAGUCCCUCUAAAGUAUGUUUUCACAUAACGGAACCUUAUGACACGUGUCAAGACAUUAUUGGACGAAAUUUUUCGAGGUGUUACAGGUGACAACAAUACUAAUCACCACACCAACCAGAAAGGGACCGGGUUCUCCAGUUACAAAGGAAAUUUUUAAGUUUGAGACGUUUAAACAAUAUCCGAUUACUUGUUCGGAUGAUUUAACUAUAUAUAUAGACCGGUGACUAGGACUUUUAGCAUACUGAGCUAGAACUGCUUUCAUGUAGAUGUAGCAUAUAAACAAUUGGUAAGUAAAUGAAUUAUUUAUAUUUUUUGGUGACAAAGUAUUAGUUGGUGAACAUAUUUGUGGAUGUUUCAGGAGAUUUGAUUCUUCUGGUGCCUGUUCUAUGUAGAUAGGGCUGAUGACUGCUGGCUUGCUACAUGCAAGGAUAACAUGAAUUGUGAUAUAACGUCUCCAUACUGUGGUGAAAACCGUAUGGGGGAUUAUGCAUUUUUUAACACAAGUUGCAAACCUCUUCAACCAUAUUAAAUAACUCUGGUAGUAAGCAUUUUAUUAUUUUUCAAUCAGUUAGCUCGCUUGGUCAAAACCUCAAGACAAGUACCUACUUAUGGGAUUCUUGGACAGGUAUUAUUCUAGUUUCUUCUUCUAGGCAACAUAUAUCUUUACUCAAUGACAUUAAGAUUAGAAAUGAGGGUAAAAAGGAGGGAUGCAGAGGUAUGGAUGUCCCACAAGAUGCUUCCUGAAGAUCUGAAGGAAGGUGUGACACUCUAUGAACAAAAGAAAACAGGAAGUCAAUGAAGAAUCUCUUGUUCACAAGCUGCCCGAGGACUAAUGGAAGGACAUAAAGCUCAAUGGACAAUACAACCGGCAACCAAAUUGCCAAAUUGUUCAUGUAAAAUAACAUUAGGCAUAUAUAAUAAUAUUUCAUACUGCUCCAAGUAUAGAAAAAACCCACAAAUCAGUAGCAUCACAAGGCUAUUUGGAAGGUUUUAUUAUCAAACCCAGCAACCUAUUCCUUAUAUUGCCUUUUCCAUUGUAAUUGACCCCUUUAUUUUAAUUUUGAUUACAUUGUAAUAUUGAGUUUGGACAUAUGUGAAUAUAUAUAAGGGCAUCUUUUGUAUUUUUCUUACUA